AAAUCUACACUAGAACAGAAAGGGGAUGUAUGGCGGAGAGUCUAAGAAUCUUCCAUUAGCAAUAUUUAAUAAGGAAAAGAAUUACUGAGAAAGCUGAGAUGUCUGCAAAUGACUUCUGAAGCUCUCCAAAAGGGAAGGGAGCUUAGCUAGCAGAGGAGAAAGCCAUCUGAUGGGUAAAGGUGCGGAGCACUGGGAAGGAGGUGGAAUUGGCAUCGCUGAUGGUGUUCUCCCCUGCUCAUGGGUGAGGGGUGCUGGGGAGCGUUCCCAGCAAGGGGGCUGCAGCUGGAGGGCAGGGAUGGGUUGUGCCACAGCUGCUGGCGCCUUUGGGCAGGGUGUCUCUGGGCAGAAACGUGGAUGUGCACCCAAACAGGGCCCCAUCCUGCCACCUCCUCGCUGCUCGUUCCCCCAAACCCACAGUGAGGGCUCCUUUCCCCACCACAGGUGGGAUGGGUGAUGGAUGGUCUUUGCCUUUUCUGAGCACCUCUGCAGCGCAGGAGCAGAGGGCAGGUGCUGCCCCACGUCCCACUGCUCUGGGGGCUCUGGUCCUGCCGCCAACCCGCCUCAGUGCGGCUUCUCUUUUAUUUUUAGCAGAGUGCAGCACAUGCUUUGUGUUCCUUGCUGCAGGAGAGAGCUGAUUAAAACUGUUUGUUUGUUUGUUUUUCCCUACCAUCAGCUAAGCUACGGUGCCAGAGCACGGAUGUCAGCUUUGGAGUAUCUGCGACGUGACCCUUGGUAGGAUGAGCGCCGCUGCGAUGUCAUAAAGCGCUUCGGGUCAUGCAAGCGUUGCCGGAGAGACAGCACAAAGACAAGGUUUGUGCAACAGCUAGGGGUGUGGGGACAAAUCCUCCGAGCCUCCUGCACCUGCAGGGCCACCACGAUGCUCCCCUGCUCCUGCUGCUUGCUGGGCACUGAGGCACUGGGUGCUGCAGCAAGUGCCACCUGCCCGCAUCCUGCUGUCACCAUGCGAGACCAGGGGAACUGGAGGCGACCUGGGCCAUCGCUGACUGCCGGGGACCUGGUGCGAGGAUGAGCCGGGCGGGUUGGUGCAGAAGAGGCCGAGGCCCAUCCUGCCCAGGACAUGGAAGCUUCUGGCGGUGAAUUUAAAUCCAAAGACAAUCGAGAUCUCGGUGACAGACAGAAGCAAAGAAUAAACCACCAGACAGGCCCUUACCAGAAAACAGCUUUUGAAGGAGUCAAGAGCAGGUAGGGAUUCUUCUUUGGACGAUAUCCAUGAGAAAUGUUUGCUCGUGUGUUUGGUGCUGUGCAACCGUGCGGGACCCGACGGGGAGGAGAGGGGCUGGGCUGGCGCCCCCGCUCAGCCAGACCCAAGCUCACGGCAGACCCCAGCCCACCGCUGGCAGGAGGGCUCGUGCUGCGUGCACGUGUCUGUGGGGUUGUGCGAGGAGCCCGGUGGGCCGUGCCCAGGAUAGGAUCUGUGCCCGGCCCAGCACCGUGCUGCCCUCCUGGCGCAGCAGGGGAUGGUGAGGCCGGGGCUGUGCGUGACCUCAAGUGCUGCUCACAGCACCGGUGGGCCUGGAGAGCUGGAGAUAUCAGUAGUCUUGUUCAGCUGCUGGGUUUUUUCCUCUUCCCCUUUUUCUAUGCUUGUAAUGAAAAUAUUGGGCAGGGUUAUAUAUUCCAUCCCACGUUGGCGUGCGUAAAAAGUCCUGCUGCUGUGAGCAAUGUAGAGAAAAUCUCUUUCUAAGUGGUAACCUUGAAGGGUUAAGCUCGAGCACCUGGAUUAGGAGGACUCGAAUGUUGUGCCAUGUGUCGUGCAAAUGGUUACUCCAAAUGUUUGCAAUCUUGGCAAGGCUUUCUUGCAGACAAGCUGAAGUAAUUUUCCUUACAUGCACAAAACAGUCUGCAGAAGCACUGAAAUCGUUAAAAAAAGACCUGAGCAUGCUGCUAAAAUUCAAGUG